AUCAACAGCCAUAUCACUCUGCAGCCCAAGACCAGUUACUCACUGAAGCUAAGCAGGGCUGAACCUGGUUAGUACCUGGAUGAGAGACCACAAGGGAAAAAUAGGGAAGUGAUGUUA
ensembl:rRNA 5S_rRNA 5S ribosomal RNA